rnacentral:rRNA from 1 species
UACGAAGGGGGCUAGCGUUGUUCGGAUUUACUGGGCGUAAAGGGCGCGUAGGCGGCCACCGCAAGUCGACUGUGAAAUCUCCGGGCUUAACCCGGAAAGGUCAGCCGAUACUGCGGGGCUAGAGUGCAGAAGGGGCAACUGGAAUUCUCGGUGUAGCGGUGAAAUGCGUAGAUAUCGAGAGGAACACCUGCGGCGAAGGCGGGUUGCUGGGCUGACACUGACGCUGAUGCGCGAAAGCUAGGGGAGCGAACGGG